UGAGGAAUAUUGCACAAUGGGCGCAAGCCUGAUGCAGCAACGCCGCGUGCGGGACGAAGGCCUUCGGGUCGUAAACCGCUUUUCUGGGGGAAGAGCAAGGACGGUACCUCAGGAAUAAGUCUCGGCUAACUACGUGCCAGCAGCCGCGGUAAAACGUAGGAGGCGAGCGUUAUCCGGAUUUACUAGGCGCAAAGCGCACGCAGGCGGCUCUGUUAGUCGGACGUGAAAGCUCUCGGCUUAACCGGGAGAGGCCGUUCGAUACUGCGGGGCUUGAGGUAGGGAGAGGACUGCGGAAUUCCCGGUGUAGUGGUGGAAUGCGUAGAUAUCGGGAGGAACACCUGUGGCGAAAGCGGCAUUCUGGCCCUCACCUGACGCUGAGGUGCGAAAGCGUGGGUAGCAAACA
rnacentral:rRNA from 1 species